rnacentral:rRNA from 1 species
UAAAUUAAAGCUUUGGUGGUAUAGGAUUGGCUCGCGUGACAUUAGCCAGAUGGUGAGGUAACGGCUCACCAUGGCGACGAUGUCUAGGGGUUCUGAGAGGAAGGCCCCCCACACUGGGACUGAGACACGGCCCAGACUCCUACGGGAGGCAGCAGUGAGGAAUAUUGGACAAUGGAUGGAAAUCUGAUCCAGCCAUGCCGCGUGCAGGAAGACGGCCCUAUGGGUUGUAAACUACUUUUAUAUGGGAGCAAUAAGGGUUACGAGUAGCCUGAUGAGAGUACCAUAUGAAUAAGCAUCGGCUAACUCCGUGCCAGCAGCCGCGGUAAUACGGAGGAUGCGAGCGUUAUCCGGAUUUAUUGGGUUUAAAGGGUGCGUAGGCGGCUAUAUAAGUCAGCGGUGAAAUUUUGCAGCUUAACUGUAACAGUGCCGUUGAUACUGUAUAGCUAGGAUUUGGUUGCUGUGGGUGGAAUGUGUGGUGUAGCGGUGAAAUGCUUAGAUAUCACACAGAAUAUCAAUUGCGAAGGCAGCUCACAAAGCCAAGAUUGACGCUGAGGCACGAAAGUGUGGGGAUCAAACAGGAUUAGAUACCCUGGUAGUCCACACUGUAAACGAUGAUAACUCGCUGCCGGCGACAGACAGUCGGUGGCCAAGCGAAAGCGAUAAG